ACUUAAAUAAUUUAAUAUAAAAUAUUGAUUUGUGGUGUCAAAAAUAUGGGCUACAUUUUAAGUU
rnacentral:tRNA from 1 species